ACCAAGUUUGGUCUGCUUGAUUUUUCUAUUUACAAGAAAAUGAAAGAUCUUAGAUUCGAGUUCUUUUGACCAUAAAAAUUUUCACCAAUUUAGUAAGUAAAUUUGAUUCGUUGGAUCUCCCAAUAAAUAAAUAAAAAUUUCUAGUAAUUAGAAAAGGAAUAUUUCUCUUAUCUUGCACCAAAUAUAUCUAUCUAUCUAUACUACCGUUGUGUUCGGCAACAGCUUUUUAAGUAGCUUUUAGCUUUUUUGACUAGUCAAACCGCUAAACGCUGUUAUUCUUUACAAUGUUUGGUAAUAUAACAUUUAAACUAACUUUUAAAGGUUAAGUAGCAUUUUAUAAAAAGUUAAUUCACAUAAUGUUCAGCUUUUAGCGUUGUUUGAAAAGCUAUUUAAACAGUUAAAUUGUCACGACCCGUUUCCGUGGGCCGGACCGGCACUAGGACCCAGGUAAGCUUAAGGCCCCCGAGGCCCGUAGUAAGCCUAAAUUAUCCAAUCUGUCUACCUAUCUUGCCCAAUUAAUUCAUCGAAACAGUAAGCCUCGAUCUCAAUUAACACAUAAUAUCUAACCAGGGCCUAUUCACAAUAAAUUAUAAUCACAUUAUGGGCUUACUGGUUCACCUGCAGCUAAUUACAUAAUAUAUAAUUUAUAGUGUAAUGCUAACAAUAGAUCCAAUAUUCAUACACAACCCUAUAACUGCGGAGUCCAAGAAUAAUCUGAUAACAGAAUAAUUUAUACAUCCAAAAUUAAAUAACAGGAAUAUAAAGUUUACAUUUAUAACUCUGCGGAGAAGAUUGCAGAGCUCCAGUCGAAUCAGCUGCUUCCUAGUACCUGGGAGGUUUGUUGGGGGGGUGAGUUUUGCAACUCAGUGAAUAAUAAUAAAUAAUACACACCACAUACAGUCAAGCAAAAUGCACCCUAGUAUACUGAAUGAACACACAACAGUCAAUCAUAUGACAUUACAUCAGCACCCACAAACAAUAUCACCUUCAAAUAAUCACAUCACGUGGAAAUUAGUCAGUGGNNNN
rnacentral:lncRNA from 1 species